AGGUUAGAAAUCUCACAAUAGUGGUAAAAAGUUUUGGGAUUUAGAGCUCACCUGGCUCAGUUUGAAUGACAGCUGUGUGAUUUUAGACAACUCACUUAACUAUUCUGAUUCAGUUUCCUUUCCGUAAAAUGUUCUCCAAUAUCAUAUAUGAAAGGGUCAGUUGGAGACAGAUGUGGCUAUGAUCUGAGGUAGCAGUAACCUAAUUGCAUCAGGCAGCAGGAAUAUCCACAAUGUGCGCCUACACAAGACUGAAUGACACCACUGUGGCAGCAUCAUUAGGCUCCUGGCUCACCAGAUUCUUAUGCCCCAUCUUGGUAAGGGUGACAGCUCCUCUAUAGCUUUUUAAAUCUAAUCCAUCCUCUUCACCAAUGUACAAAUUAUUUCCAAUGUCUGUUAUGCUGAUUAUGAAUCUUCUGGUUAUCUUUAGGUAUACAGCCAUGCACUGCAUAAAGACAUUUCGGUCACGAUGCACCACAUGUAUGAUGGUGGGCCCAUAUGAUUAUAAUAGAGCUGAAAAAUUCCUAUUACCUAGUGAUGUUAUAACUACCAUAAUGUUAUAGCACAAUUAUGGUAUUUUUAAAAUAAAUGUAAGUAGACAGUGUUCAUAAAGUUUACAGUGGUAUACAGUAAUGUCCUAGACCUCCACAUUCACUCGCCACUCAUUCACUGACUCACCCGGAGCAACUUCCAGUCCUGCAAGCUCCAUUCAUGCAUACAUGAUAUGAUGUUUGCACAAUGAUGGAAUCACCUACUGACAGAAUGUAGUCCUGUCAUUGAGACACGUGACUGUAUUUUAAUGAUCUCCAUCUUCUAUGUAAGUCAUUCCUCCCAGUGUCUUGGUCAUGUGUUCCUGAUUAAAAGAGGGAAAAUGCCCUGAUUGGAUGAACUGAGUGUGUAGGUACGGCUUGUCAACUUUGAGGUUUACUUCACGGCAUCUGGGUAGGUCAUUUUUGGAUGAACUCUCAAUGUAAGUGUCUUUAGGUUCUUUUCCCUUGACUUGGUCAGGU